GCUAACCGACUGAGCCACCCAGGCGCUCCCUACUCAUCCUAUUUCUGAUGACAGGAGAGAAAUUGUCAUGAGGCUAGCUUGUGUGGGGGUGUUUGACCCAUCCCAAGGCUCAGACAAAUGCAUCCCAAUUUCAUAAUCACACUCUGUCGGUAUCAUUCCUUCCACAAGAUUCAGAAUGUCAAGAGUUAGAAAGGUGUCAUAUGCCCAACAUUUUGGGAACUCAAGAUCAUUACACAAAAGACUUGAAACGAAGUGUUAAAACUGGCAUCUGUUUCUUCCCAACUGAUUUUAAGUUCUUUAAUAACCUAGCAGAUGUCAAAAUAAUUUUAAAAGAUAAUCCACAUUUCCUGAAGUACUUAAUGUGAGCCAAGGAGAGCCUUGAGUACUUCACGUGCACCAUCGCAAUCGCCAAAACAGCAUUACCAGGUAGGUUCUGUUAUGCCCACAUUACAGAUGAGGAAACCGACACUCAGAAUAUUGCUCACGGACAUACAGCUAAUAAGGGGCAGAUCCAAGACUCAAAACCACGUGUGUCUACCCUCAGAGCCAGCUCACUUACAAAUGGCCACCCGAUCCACCCAGUAUCCAGUGCUCUGACCUUUGACGGCUAAAGAAGAAAACUUUGGGCACAGCACCAGCCUUGAGAGCAUCUGCAAUCAGCCUGCGACCUUCCAGCAGGAUCUUUCCUUGCUUUUCCCGAAAUGGCCUGGACUUAACUAUCGUCAUUACACUGCUGUGGGUGGAAACAAAAAGACGGGUGCAGGGCGUCUGGGAUGGUGACACCUGAAGCGGCUGCUUUGGUCGCUGCUCGGAGGGACUGGCCUCAGCCGCAGCCCUCCGGGGCUGCUUUCCAGGACCGGGCUUCCGUUCCACCACCUGUCCGGAUGGAAACACCACC